CUGCAAUCAGAAGGACCUGAACUCUCGAACCUCCCCGCGAGAGCGCUGGAGUCCCGGAACAGGUCACGUAUGGAGGAACGGGAGAUGGUUGUUAGCGGGUUCGAGGGUGAUGGUGUUAGAAAGAUGAGAGUUUCAUGGACAGAACAGGUCAUUUUCAAUCUGGUAUCGAUGUGGCACAGCGUCUGCACCAACGAGACAACAAACACGUGAGAUCAUGCAUCUAUUUUUCAAUUAUUCAUCCGAGCGCUGUUCCAGGAACAGUUCAUCUGAUCCAGAUCAGCAGAUAUUGUUAGGAUGUCUGAGUUAAAGCACAACAACAUCUCACAAAAUCUGCCCUGAAAGCCUUUGAGAUGGUUCUGUCUGGAGCUGAAGAUGCAUAGGAGGGACUGCAGAUGGGAUUCAGUCUUACAGAUGGGCAGAAUGAAUCUGAAUCCCAAAUGAAGAUGUUCCUCUGAAGCGGCUCUAAAAGAUCUCAGAGAAACACUUUCAUACUAAUGCUCACGGGAUAAUAACAGGGUUCCACAUCACUUGAAACAUACUUUAAGAAAAAACAUAAACACAAGCCCCAUUUCAUAUGUUGUUGUGCUGAAAUGUGCAAGAACACAACUUAUAGUGCAACACAAUUCUCAGUGUUGCCACAAGGGGCACUAUAGCCAUCCUUAACACAAACUGUUUUUAA